CCCUUAGAUGUUCUGGGCCGCACGCGUGCUACACUGAGUAAUUCAAUGGGUAAGGGAACGCUAGAGCAUUACCUAAUCUUGAAAUUUGCUCGUGAUGGGGAUCGACGGUUGCAAUUUUCCGUCGUGAACGAGGAAUACCUUGUAGGCGCAUGUCAUCAUCAUGCGCCGAAUACGUCCCUGCCCUUUGUACACACCGCCCGUCGCUCCUACCGAUUGAGUGAUCCGGUGAGGCUCUGGGACCUGGACGGAAAGAGCGUUUUGCUUGUUCUGUUUGGGAAACUUGGUCGAACCUUAUCAUUUAGAGGAAGGAGAAGUCGUAACA
rnacentral:rRNA from 1 species